rnacentral:rRNA from 1 species
CUUGCUUUCUUUGCUGGCGACCGGCGCACGGGUGAGUAACACGUAUCCAACCUGCCCUUUACUCGGGGAUAGCCUUUCGAAAGAAAGAUUAAUACCCGAUGGCAUAGUUCUUCCGCAUGGUAGAACUAUUAAAGAAUUUCGGUCAUCGAUGGGGAUGUGUUCCAUUAGGUUGUUGGCGGGGUAACGGCCCACCAAGCCUUCGAUGGAUAGGGGUUCUGAGAGGAAGGUCCCCCACAUUGGAACUGAGACACGGUCCAAACUCCUACGGGAGGCAGCAUG